UUUGCAUUAAGUAAGUGCCCUUAAUCAGCUUUUCAGUUCAGUUUUAUUGGUUGCACCACAGUCAGUUAUUUCAUCCAGAAAAUCUGAGGGCCCUACAAAGCUAAGCAGGUUCCAGCUUGGAGUUUACUUGUGUAACAUUGGUGGACUCAUAUGGAAGCAAUUGUGGGGUGCUUGGAGGAAUAACAAAGGAGAAGGAGUUUCCAGUGAUCCCUGAUGAUUGACCAUGCUGACUCCGGUUUCUGAGAGCUGAAGUC
rnacentral:lncRNA from 11 species